rnacentral:ncRNA from 1 species
UUUUAACGCGGCAGGGCCGACGCGCAGCAGAUCGUAGACAGGAUCGAAGAGGGAACACGGUCAAACCGUGGCUGCCCCCGCAACUGUAAGCAGCGAGUCCUAUGCAAUCGGCCACUGGGCAACCGGGAAGGCGCGGCGGACGAAGACCUGUCAGCCAGGAGACCUGCCGACGAACGCUGGUCGCGA